rnacentral:rRNA from 1 species
AGUGAACGCUGGCGGUAGGCCUAACACAUGCAAGUCGAACGGCAGCACAGUAAGAGCUUGCUCUUACGGGUGGCGAGUGGCGGACGGGUGAGGAAUACAUCGGAAUCUACUUUUUCGUGGGGGAUAACGUAGGGAAACUUACGCUAAUACCGCAUACGACCUACGGGUGAAAGCAGGGGAUCUUCGGACCUUGCGCGAUUGAAUGAGCCGAUGUCGGAUUAGCUAGUUGGCGGGGUAAAGGCCCACCAAGGCGACGAUCCGUAGCUGGUCUGAGAGGAUGAUCAGCCACACUGGAAGUGAGAAACGGUCCAGACUCCUACGGGAGGCAGCAGUGGGGAAUAUUGGACAAUGGGCGCAAGCCUGAUCCAGCCAUACCGCGUGGGUGAAGAAGGCCUUCGGGUUGUAAAGCCCUUUUGUUGGGAAAGAAAAGCAGCAGGUUAAUACCCCGCUGUUCUGACGGUACCCAAAGAAUAAGCACCGGCUAACUUCGUG